CUUUGACGUUAGCGGCGGACGGGUGAGUAACACGUGGGUAACCUACCUAUAAGACUGGGAUAACUUAGGGAAACCGGAGCUAAUACCGGAUAAUAUUUCGAACCGCAUGGUUCGAUAGUGAAAGAUGGUUUUGCUAUCACUUAUAGAUGGACCCGCGCCGUAUUAGCUAGUUGGUAAGGUAACGGCUUACCAAGGCGACGAUACGUAGCCGACCUGAGAGGGUGAUCGGCCACACUGGAACUGAGACACGGUCCAGACUCCACGGGAGGCAGCAGCC
rnacentral:rRNA from 1 species